UACGGGGGGCAGCAGUGGGGAAUUUUCCGCAAUGGGCGAAAGCCUGGCGGAGUGACGCCGCGUGUGGGACGAAGGCCUUCGGGUCGUAAACCACUGUCAGUGGGAAAGAUGGGUGUUGGCGCGAUAACCGCCGACACUUGACGGUACCUGCAGAGGAAGCCCCGGCUAACUCUGUGCCAGCAGCCGCGGUAAGACAGAGGGGGCAAGCGUUGCUCGGAAUUACUGGGCGUAAAGGGCGCGUAGGCGGGAUGGCAAGUCGGUCGUGAAAUCCCUCGGCUCAACUGAGGAUCGUCGAUCGAUACUGCCGUUCUUGAGGAUUGCAGAGGAGACUGGAAUUCCCGGUGUAGCGGUGAAAUGUGUAGAGAUCGAGAGGAACACCGGUGGCGAAGGCGGGUCUCUGGGCAAUUCCUGACGCUGAGGCGCGAAAGCGUGGGGAGCAAACGGGAUUAGAUACCCCAGUAGUAUCUUCUAGA
rnacentral:rRNA from 1 species